CCUACGGGUGUCAGCAGUGAGGAAUAUUGGUCAAUGGGCGCGAGCCUGAACCAGCCAAGUAGCGUGAAGGAUGACUGCCCUACGGGUUGUCAACUUCUUUUAUAAAGGAAUAAAGUGAGGCCCGUGGGCCUUUUUGUAUGUACUUUAUGAAUAAGGAUCGGCUAACUCCGUGCCAGCAGCCGCGGGAAUACGGAGGAUCCGAGCGUUAUCCGGAUUUAUUGGGUUUCAAGGGAGCGUAGAUGUGUUGGUAAGUCAGGUGUGAAAGUUUGCGGUUCAACCGUAAAAUUGCAAUUGAUACUGGCAGCAUUGAGUACAGUUGAGGUAGGCGGAAUGUGUGGGGUAGCGGUGAAAUGCUUAGAUAUCACGAAGAACGCCGAUUGCGAAGGCAGCCUACUAAACUGCCACUGACAUUGAUGCUCGAAAGUGUGGGUAUCAAACAGGAUUAGAUACCCCUGUAGUC
rnacentral:rRNA from 1 species